CAGCUCUCCGAGUGGUGUGGAUGUUUAUUGGGCCUAAAGCAUCCGUAGCUGGCUGAGCAAGUCCCCUGUUAAAUCCACCGAUUUAAUCGUUGGUGUGCGGGGGAUACUGCUCGGCUAGGGGACGGGAGAGGCAGACGGUAUUUCCGGGGUAGGGGUGAAAUCCUAUAAUCCCGGGAGGACCACCAGUGGCGAAGGCUGUCUGCUAGAACGCGCCCGACGGUGAGGGAUGAAAGCUGGGGGAGCGAACCGGAUUAGAUACCCGAGUAGUCC
rnacentral:rRNA from 1 species